rnacentral:rRNA from 1 species
AGCGGCGAAGGGAGAGUCACACGUGGGUAAUUUGCCAUGAAGUUUGGGAUAACUGGAAAGAAAGGCGAGCUAAUACCGGAUGUGACCCCCGGGAGACAUCUCCUGGUGGUUAAAGUUGGGGACCGUAAGGCCUGACGCUUCUUGAUGAACCCGCGGCCUAUCAGCUAGUUGGUGAGGUAACGGCCCACCAAGGCUAAGACGGGUAGCUGGUCUGAGAGGACGACCAGCCACACUGGAACUGAGACACGGUCCAGACACCUACGGGUGGCAGCAGUCGAGAAUUUUUCACAAUGGGCGCAAGCCUGAUGGAGCGACGCCGCGUGGGGGAUGAAUGGCUUCGGCCCGUAAACCCCUGUCAUUUGCGAUCAAACCUUAUUAUUUAAAAGAUGAUGAGCUGAUAGUAGCGAAAGAGGAAGGGACGGCUAACUCUGUGCCAGCAGCCGCGGUAAUACAGAGGUCCCAAGCGUUGUUCGGAUUCACUGGGCGUAAAGGGUGCGUAGGUGGUGAGGUAAGUCGGAUGUGAAAUCUCGGAGCUCAACUCCGAAACUGCAUUGGA